CAAUNUAUGCUUUGGAAACUGUUAGACUUGAGUGCAGAAGGGGAGAGUGGAAUUNCAUGUGUAGCGGUGAAAUGCGUAGAUAUAUGGAGGAACACCGGUGGCGAAAGCGGCUCUCUGGUCUGUCACUGACGCUGAGGCUNGAAAGCGUGGGUAGCGAACAGGAUUAGAUACCCUGGUAGUNCACGCCGUAAACGCUGAGUGCUAGGUGUUAGGUCCUUUCCGGGACUUAGUGCCGACGCUAACGCAUUAAGCACUCCGCCUGGGGAGUACGACCGCAAGGUUGAAACUCAAAGGAAUUGACGGGGGCCCGCACAAGCGGUGGAGCAUGUGGUUUAAUUCGAAGCAACGCGAAGAACCUUACCAGGUCUUGACAUCCCGAUGCCCGCUCUAGAGAUAGAGUUUUUCUUCGGAACAUCGGAGACAGGUGGUGCAUGGUUGUCGUCAGCUCGUGUCGUGAGAUGUUGGGUUAAGUCCCGCAACGAGCGCAACCCUUAUUGUUAGUUGCCAUCAUUAAGUUGGGCACUCUAGCGAGACUGCCGGUAAUAAACCGGAGGAAGGUGGGGAUGACGUCAAAUCAUCAUGCCCCUUAUGACCUGGGCUACACACGUGCUACAAUGGUUGGUACAACGAGUCGCAAGCCGGUGACGGCAAGCUAAUCUCUGAAAGCCAAUCUCAGUUCGGAUUGUAGGCUGCAACUCGCCUACAUGAAGUCGGAAUCGCUAGUAAUCGCGGAUCAGCACGCCGCGGUGAAUACGUUCCCGGGCCUUGUACACACCGCCCGUCACACCACGAGAGUUUGUAACACCCAAAGUCGGUGAGGUAACCAUUUAUGGGGCCAGCCGCCUAAGGUGGGANGGAUGA
rnacentral:rRNA from 1 species